rnacentral:tRNA from 1 species
CGGCAGAUUUCCCCGCGCGGCGACAGCGGCGGCCCAGCGUGCCGCCGCCUCGGCCACGGCCGAGCCGUCGAUCCCGGCGACGAUCUGCCGGCC